rnacentral:rRNA from 1 species
UACGGAGGGUGCGAGCGUUGUCCGGAAUCACUGGGCGUAAAGGGCGCGUAGGCGGCGCGGGUAGUCGUCGGUGAAAGCUCAGGGCUCAACCCUGAGUCGGCCGGUGAUACUCCCGUGCUCGAGCACUGUAGAGGCAGGUGGAAUUCCGGGUGUAGCGGUGGAAUGCGUAGAGAUCCGGAAGAACACCGGUGGCGAAGGCGGCCGUGCUGGCGAGCUGAGCUGACGCUGAUGCGCGACAGCGUGGGGAGCAAACAGG